rnacentral:rRNA from 1 species
CCCUUAGAUGUUCUGGGCCGCACGCGCGCUGCACUGAUACAUGCAACGAGUUUAUAACCUUGAUCUGACGGUCUGGGUAAUCUUCAAACUGUAUCGUGUUAGGGAUCGAUUCUUGCAAUUUUUAAUCGUAAACGAGGAAUUCCUAGUAAACGCAAGUCAUCAGCUUGCAUUGAUUACGUCCCUGCCCUUUGUACACACCGCCCGUCGACUCUACCGAUUGAAUGGUUCGGUGAAAACUUUGGACUGUGGCAUCGUCCUUCAUUGGACUUCGCCGUAGGAAAUUGCUUAAACCUCAUCAUUUAGAGGAAGAAUAAGUCGUANCA